UGCAGGUGUGGCGGAAUUGGCAGACGCACUAGAUUUAGGAUCUAGCGCCUUACGGCGUGGGGGUUCAAGUCCUUUAGCCGGCAUC
rnacentral:tRNA from 1 species